rnacentral:rRNA from 1 species
CCUACGGGAGGCUGCAGUGGGGAAUAUUGGACAAUGGGGGCAACCCUGAUCCAGCCAUGCCGCGUGUGUGAAGAAGGCCCUCGGGUUGUAAAGCACUUUCAGUGAGGAAGAACGCCUGGUGGUUAAUACCCAUCAGGAAAGACAUCACUCACAGAAGAAGCACCGGCUAACUCCGUGCCAGCAGCCGCGGUAAUACGGAGGGUGCGAGCGUUAAUCGGAAUUACUGGGCGUAAAGCGCGCGUAGGUGGCUUGAUAAGCCGGUUGUGAAAGCCCCGGGCUCAACCUGGGAACGGCAUCCGGAACUGUCAAGCUAGAGUGCAGGAGAGGAAGGUAGAAUUCCCGGUGUAGCGGUGAAAUGCGUAGAGGUCGGGAGGAAUACCAGUGGCGAAGGCGGCCUUCUGGACUGACACUGACACUGAGGUGCGAAAGCGUGGGUAGCAAACAGGAUUAGAUACCCGAGUAGUC